GACAGAGGGUGCAAACGUUGUUCGGAAUUACUGGGCGUAAAGCGCGUGUAGGCUGCUCAGAAAGUUGGAUGUGAAAGCCCUGGGCUUAACCUAGGAAGUGCAUUCAAAACUACUGAGCUGGAGUCCUGGAGAGGAAGGCGGAAUUCUCGGUGUAGAGGUGAAAUUCGUAGAUAUCGAGAGGAACACCGGUGGCGAAGGCGGCCUUCUGGACAGUGACUGACGCUGAGACGCGAAAGCGUGGUGAGCAAACAGG
rnacentral:rRNA from 1 species